AUCAGGGCGGUGCUGGUCUUGUGCAGGAAGUCUCGGCGGGCGUCACGGACCUUACGGUGCGCGACCGCGACCUUCGUCUUUGCUUUACGCCGGUUCGCGGAACCCUUCUUCGCGCGGGCGAGACGGCGCUGAUACCGGGCCAGGUUGCAGGUCUUACGUUCCAGGUGCCGAGGGUUGGCGAUUCGGUCGCCGUCGGAGGUCACGGCGAAGUCUUUGAUCCCGAGGUCGAUACCGAUCUCAUGCCCGGCCGGGUUGAAGGGGGCGGGCUGGUCGGUGUCGACGGCCAGGGUGGCAUACCAGCGGCCGUCCGUGUCGCGGGAGAUGAUCACCAUGGUCGGGUCCAGGGUGGCCAGGUCCACCCCCGGCCAGGACCACGCCAGCCGCAACGGCCCGGCGGUCUUGGCCAUGAACACCUGGCCGUCCUUGAUCCGGAACGCCGACCGGGUGUAGUGCGCCAACUGCUUGCCGUCGCGGGAUUUGAAGCGGGGGUAGCGGGCGCGUUUGGCGAAGAAGUUGCCGAACGCGGUGUGCUGGUGCCGCAGCGUCUGCUGCAACGGCACGCUGGACACCUCGGACAGGAACGCCAGUUCGCCGG
rnacentral:antisense_RNA from 1 species